rnacentral:rRNA from 1 species
CCUACGGGCGGCAGCAGUGGGGAAUAUUGCACAAUGGGGGAAACCCUGAUGCAGCGACGCCGCGUGAGUGAAGAAGCGUUUCGGCGCGUAAAGCUCUGUCAGCGGGGAAGAAACACGGUUCGCGAGAGCCGCGGACGGUACCCGACCAAGAAGCCCCGGCGAACUACGUGCCAGCAGCCGCGGUAAUACGGGGGGGGCAAGCGGUAUCCGGAUUCACUGGGGGGAAGGGGGGCGUAGCAGGCGAGACAAGUCUGGAGUGAAAGGCCGGGGCCCAACCCCGGGACUGCGCUGGAAACUGCCUGGCUGGAGUACAGGAGAGGUAAGGGGAAGUCCUGGGGUAGCGGUGAAAUGCGUAGAUAUUAGGAGGAACACCAGUGGCGAAGGCGGCUGACUGGACUGUAACUGACGUUGAGGCUCGAAAGCGUGGGGAGCAAACGGGAUUAGAUACCCCUGUAGUC